rnacentral:misc_RNA from 1 species
AGAUGAUAGACAGGAUAAGGUUGCCCAUGGAGAACGUGAAGGAGAAUGGAACCAUGAAAAAUUAUGAAGUGGAGACACCCAAAAAUAUAACCAUCAAAGGUAUUCUAAGUUUGCUGAUGCAAAGUAUUGAUGAGAAAGAUGAUAGGAGUGCGAUUUCUCUGGGUAUGGGUGACCCUUCUACUUAUUCUUGCUUUCACACCACACC